GUGGUCGUAGCUCAAUAGUAGAGCGCUUGCCUGUGGAGCAAGUGGUUACGGGUGCAAUCCCCGUCGACCACCCCA
rnacentral:tRNA from 1 species